AUUGAACGCUGGCGGCAUGCUUUACACAUGCAAGUCGAACGGUAACAGGCCGCAAGGUGCUGACGAGUGGCGAACGGGUGAGUAAUGCAUCGGAACGUGCCCAGUCGUGGGGGAUAACGCAGCGAAAGCUGCGCUAAUGCCGCAUACGAUCUAUGGAUGAAAGCGGGGGACCGUAAGGCCUCGCGCGAUUGGAGCGGCCGAUGUCAGACUAGGUAGUUGGUGGGGUAAAGGCUCACCAAGCCGACGAUCUGUAGCUGGUCUGAGAGGACGACCAGCCACACUGGGACUGAGACACGGCCCAGACUCCUACGGGAGGCAGCAGUGGGGAAUUUUGGACAAUGGGCGCAAGCCUGAUCCAGCAAUGCCGCGUGCAGGAAGAAGGCCUUCGGGUUGUAAACUGCUUUUGUACGGAACGAAACGGUCCUGGUUAAUACCUGGGGCUAAUGACGGUACCGUAAGAAUAAGCACCGGCUAACUACGUGCCAGCAGCCGCGGUAAUAC
rnacentral:rRNA from 1 species